rnacentral:rRNA from 1 species
GUGCCAGCAGCCGCGGUAAUACGGAGGGAGCUAGCGUUGUUCGGAAUUACUGGGCGUAAAGCGCACGUAGGCGGCUUUGUAAGUCAGAGGUGAAAGCCUGGAGCUCAACUCCAGAACUGCCUUUGAGACUGCAUCGCUUGAAUCCAGGAGAGGUGAGUGGAAUUCCGAGUGUAGAGGUGAAAUUCGUAGAUAUUCGGAAGAACACCAGUGGCGAAGGCGGCUCACUGGACUGGUAUUGACGCUGAAGUGC